UACGAAGGGGGCUAGCGUUGCUCGGAACCACUGGGCGUAAAGGGUGCGUAGGCGGGGCUUUAAGUCAGGGGUGAAAUCCUGGAGCUCAACUCCAGAACUGCCUUUGAUACUGAGGAUCUUGAGUUCGGGAGAGGUGAGUGGAACUGCGAGUGUAGAGGUGAAAUUCGUAGAUAUUCGCAAGAACACCAGUGGCGAAGGCGGCUCACUGGCCCGAUACUGACGCUGAGGCACGAAAGCGUGGGGAGCAAACAGG
rnacentral:rRNA from 1 species